rnacentral:lncRNA from 1 species
UUUUUUCAUUAAUUUAGUAUACCCAAAGACCCCCCAAACCCCUUAUCCCAUUUCAUUUCCCCACCCCCCAGUCUCUCACCUCGCCUCUCUUAAAGACAAGGAACCUUAUCCGCCGCCCCCAAAACCUUCCUCUUCUCCGGUGGCGGCACCGGCCCCAAAUCGCCCCAAUAAUACACCCCAGGACCCCAUUUGUCUCCUCUUCUAUAAUCUGUAAUUAUUUUCCUUCGAACACACUUAGAAUUGUUCAACCUCGAUCUUUAGUCAUGAACACUAGCAGCCGCCACCAUUCACCCUGGCCUUCCGCUGGCGGCGCUGUCUCCUAACGACCCCAAAAAAACACCCCUUGACCACCAUAACUCCCCCUUCCCUAAUCCACAGCCAAUUUACUACAAAUCCAUUCCAAACCCCUCUAAUCUUAAAUCCCAAAUUCGGGUUCCAAAAGCUAAGCCUAAAACUCAAAAUUAAUAAUGAGGGCUCUAGUUUUAGAACUGGUUUGCUCACAAAAUAGUGUUAUUUACUUGUUUUGACAAAAAAACAAGUGACUAGAAUUGUUAGGUGAUGGAAUCAGAAAUUCAAGGAUACCGAGAUUAAUGUCCAAUUUAGCCGGUAAGUUCUUUCACGUUUUCUUUGUCAAUUUCUAUUAUAAUUGUUCAUCUCUCCCCAUUUCUUUUUUUUUUUUGGUUUCAAUUCGAUUGAAAUUCAACCAUAUCCGUGUGUUCAGAAUAAGUUUGUUGUUUUUAUUUGCUUUGAAAAUAGAUUUUUGUUUUCUUAAAUUACAUUUCAAUCUUCUUAAAAUUUCAGAAUCACGUCUUAGUCAAUUUAACUGAUAAUAUAUAAUAAUUCUGACAGAUUCUUGUUCAAAUGUGCAAACAAUCAAUCGAUCAGUAUAAAUUAAUUUAAGUUAUCACCUAACAUGAGAAGCUUCUAAAUAGGUGGUAGGGUAGAAAUUGUAAUACAAUUAAACUAACAGCACUAAACUAGUGGAUAGUUAAGUAAUUAAAAAGUAAAUUGAUAAUGAGGGAUGCAUUAACAGGAAUUGCCUAUAUAAAGGCUGAAUUUGAAAGGUUUGGGGAUACAGAUUAAGAACAAAGAUAGAUAGAAAGAAAGAACUGAUUGAUAGGGGAAGAAUACUCUACAAAAUACAGAAUAGAAAGAGAGUUUAAGACUUUAAGAGACAGAGAAUAGCUAAUUUCUGAAACAACUAAAAAUAUAUUAGAAAUUCCUGCUAUCUUUUUGAUAAAAUUAGCCCUAAUCCUGUUCUUUAACUAGUCAAAAUUUUUAGAUCUUAAAGAAUUUCUUAUUCUAGGUGUGAAAAAAAAGAAUGGUUUGGUUCUGAAAAAUCGAAAGAUUAUUUGAAGCUAUUUAAGUUACUACAUUACUAUUCCAUUGGGGUUGACUGUUGAUCUGCUGUUACUGCCUUCAGACUCUUGAUUUUCAUCUUGUUUCCUUUGUUUACCAGACAUGUCCUGACCUUGAAGUAACAUAUAUGGUGCAAAUGUAAUCAAGGUUGGAAAAAUGAUAAAUGUUGACUUUGAUUAUCGAGUAAUUGCUCAAGUUCAUACUCUGCCCGAGUGCUUAUUUUCUUUUAGCUCAUUUGUAUUGUGUAGUUUUGUAUGAUGGGGAGUCUCACUUUAAAGUCUGAAGUUGAGGUCUAUUUGUGUACUGUUGAAUCCCGGGGAUAAUCUUGAGUCUUGAUGAUAUGUAUAAGUGAAUAACCACUACUUCUCUAGUUUAAUUUUGUCAAUUUUUGCUGAGUUUUGUAUGUAAGUUGGAUUGCUGGUUCAUAAUCAGAUUCUUUUCAGUUUUAAUCAGAUUCUUUUCUUCUUGUUUCAUGCUUUGAUGUGUAUUUACCAUAAGUUUGGCAUGUCUUGUUUUAGUCACAAUUAUAUUCAUGUUUUAGUUUCAUGGUUUGCUUCUUUCAUUAUAGUCAAGUUGUUCUUUUUCUCUCCUUGAGGACUGAAUAUGGAAUUGGUAUUGUGAUUAAUUCAAGGUUUUCAGAUAGUUGAACAUGUGAUAACUAGGA